CAGGCGGGCAAGGGGGCGGUGGGUGCCUGUGGGAGGGAAGGGCGCUGACAGUGAGCAGGGUCAGGGCUGGGGAAAGUUGGGAAGUCACAGAGGGUCCCUGGAAGUCCUUACCCAGCCAGGUCCCUCCAGCCUUUGCCACCUGUUCAGACGAGAACUCUCCAUCGGCCACGGGAACCCCACGGGCAUCGGGGCCCCAGCCCUGUCCCAGCUGCAGGGACAGGAGCAGCAGGGAGCCCAGCAGGAACUUCCCUACGGCCAUUGUGACGGGCAGGUCCUGAGAGUGGGAGCUGUGCCCCAAAUUUAUGCCCUGCCUGGGCUGGGAGCUAACCUCUUCACUGCCGGCCCCUGCAGCCAGGAGGCCCCACGUCUGCACCAGCCCAUCUCCUGCACCCUCGAAUCCAGGCAUCUGCUCCUUCUGCCCCACACCCCACCCUUCUAAGAGUUAAGGGCUCACCCCCAGCCUACCCCACCCCGACAUUCCACACAGCCAUUUCCGACGCCCCAGACACCCCCUGAUUUACGAGUGCUGUGCUGGCGGCCAGGGCAGGCAACUGGUGUUCCCCCGACCUGCUGCCUGGAGUGGAAGUCAGGGGGCUUCAUGGGACCCCGGUGGGGUCCCUCCCCACUAAGUCAGGGUGCUGGGGCUCAGGAGCCCCCACGUGUAUCAUGUGCCAGGUGGAGCAUAUGUGAGUGCUGGGAAAGGUGGCUUGGCAGGGGACUGAGUCCACGGGAACCCUCCAUGGUGGCUCCCGCCUGGAGGAUUAGGACAUCAUGCCCCUGUCUCCGGGCCUGGCUGAGCCAGCAUCAAAACAGGAAAAGGGAGAGGCCUGGGGACAGCCAAGGGUGGGGACACAAGGGGACAGGGACGCCUGUCUCGGGAAGGCCAACCUGAGACCCCUAUAACUGCAGCCCCAUCCUGGGAUCUGAGCAUGUCAGAGCCCCCGGGGCGAUGGAGGCUGUCCAGGUCAUGGUAACGUCUAGCACGAUGCAGACAGAUAAGGGCUCUCGAGGCUUCCAUACCCAGCCCCGUGUGAGCCCAGUCCCCUCACCGGUACAGGGGAGCUCCUCAGAACCCCUCCUACUCGGCUUGGUGAGGAAAGAGAUGGGCACUUAGAGUGUAAGGCAGUGCCCGUAGCUUCGAAUGCAAAAACAAGCAAACAGCUUGUGAUUGUCCGAAGGGGUGCUUGACUCUAAGCACCCACAAGAUUGGGGAAAAUCAGAAAACCCUCACACACAACCCGUGUGACCCAGGUGCACCCUGUGCUGUUGGUGGGGGUGUAAAUUGCUAGCAGCUCUUUGGAUGAGCAGCUGCUACUGGGGAAUUGUAAAUUACACCCUCUGCCCCAGGAGCCCUGUUUGCGGGGUUCCUCCCACACAGGCAAGUGAAACAGCCAGCACAGGGACAUCUGAUGCCUUCUUCAUAUUAGGAAAGUCUGGAAGUGGCCUCAACUCCAUCCGUGAGGGAUUGCUUCGAUGAUUAUGUUGUGGUUUUUCUUACUGAAGUGCUUAUUGAGAUGAUAAUUUUCCGAUGGAAAGAAAAGCCUGGGCUUGGCGUGGUGGCUCAUGCCUCGGGAGGCUGAGGCGGGUGGAUUACCUGAGGUCAGGAGUUUGAGACCAGCUUGACCAACAUGGUGAAAUCCAUCUCUAUUAAAAAUACAAAAAUUAGCUGGGCAUGGUGGUGGGCGCCUGUAAUCCCAGCUACUCGGGAGGCUGAGGCAGGAGAAUUGCUUGAACCUGAGAGGUGGAGGUUGCAGUGAGCUGAGAUUGUGCCAUUGCACUCAAACCUGGGCGACAGAGCGAUACUGUCUCAAAAAAGCCUGGCGGGGCCCAGUGGCUCAUGCCUAUAAUCCCAGCACUUUGGGAGGGUGAGGUGGGAGGAUCACUUGAGGUCGGGAGUUUGAGACCAGCCAGGCCAACAUGGUGAAUCCCUGUCUCUAACGAAAAUACAAAAAUUAGGCGAGGCACAGUGGCUCACGCCUGUAAUCCCAGCACUUUGGGAGGCCGAGGUGGGCAGAUCACCUGAGGUCAGUUCAAGACCAGCCUGGUCAACAUGGUGAAACUCCGUCUCUAUUAAAAAAUUAGCUGGGUGUAGUCCCAGCUACUCGGGAGGCUGAGGCAGGAGAAUCGCUUGGAACCCAGGAGGCAGAGGCUGCAGUGAGCCAAGAUUGCACCACUGCACUCCAGCCUGGGCAGCAGCAUGAAACUCCGUCUCAGAAACCCAAAAAACAAAUUAGCUGGACCGUGGUGGGGCGUGCCUGUCAUCCCAGCUACUCAGGAGACUGAGGUAGAAUUGCUUGAACCCAGGAGGCGGAGGCUGCAGUGAGCGGAGAUCAUGUCACUGCACUCCAGCCUGGGCGACAGAGCGAGACCCCAUCUCAAAAAAAAAAAAAAAAAAGCCUGAAGUCACCCAGAAUUAAGCAACGGUCCUGGUAUUUGAACCCAGGUCCUCCGUGAAUGCAAAACCCCUGCUCCUCACCACAGGGCCUCACCACCCAGCCUCCUUACAUGAAGGCCCAGGCAGUGGGGGUGGCUGGGGCGAAACUGCUGAGGCAGCGGCUCCCUCCAGAGCUGCCUCCCUGCUGCCCAAGAAGGCCUGGUGGGAGAAGGGGGAGGGAGGUUGGCCUGAACUGGGACAUUCCGAGGAAUUAGCCAGACAUCUCAGGCAUUCCUGCUCGGCAGCCAAGGGCUGCAGAACUGGGUGGGGAAGACUUCCACCUGCAAGUUUCCAACCACCGGCAAGACAGAAGGGAUUGCCCGGAAGAUGGGUUCAAAAGUAGUGGCUGCAGGCAAAUUCCAUUUCCAGCCAUAUUAAUGUUUCCAGCCACAUUUUCCAGUUCCAUUUCCAGGAACUGGAAAAGCCCUCCCUUACAGAAUGCCUGGCAACGCCAGAUCAAAUAUAUGCAUGACCGAGCUUGUAAGAAGGGAGAAGCCCCCCGAAACAUCACCGGGAACCUCAAACAAACAUAAGGAAUAAGACAUUAUCCAAACAGAGUAGCAGAUCUAAAAAGGAAACAAAGAAAUCUGAGCAAUUUAUUAUUAUUUUUUAUUUAUUGAGACAGAGUCUCACUGUCACCCAGGCUGGAGUGCAGUGGCGUGGUGU
rnacentral:lncRNA from 10 species